GACGAACGCUGGCGGCGUGCUUAACACAUGCAAGUCGAACGAAGUGGCGAACGGGUGAGUAACGCGUAAUCAACCUGCCCUUCAGCGGGUGACAACAGUUGGAAACGACUGCUAAUACCGCAUACUCACGUCGGGGAUUUCGUCGGAUUAGCUAGUUGGGGGGGUAACGGCCCACCAAGGCGAUGAUCAGUAGCCGGGCUGAGAGGAGGAACGGCCACAUUGGGACUGAGACACGGCCCAGACUCCUACGGGAGGCAGCAGUGGGGAAUCUUCCGAAAUGGACGAAAGUCUGACGGAGCAACGCCGCGUGAGUGAUGACGGCCUUCGGGUUGUAAAGCUCUGUUAAUCGGGACGCGGUACCGGAAUAGAAAGCCACGGCUAACUACGUGCCAGCAGCCGCGGUAAUAC
rnacentral:rRNA from 1 species